rnacentral:rRNA from 1 species
CCUACGGGAGGCAGCAGUAGGGAAUAUUGCUCAAUGGGGGAAACCCUGAAGCAGCAACGCCGCGUGGAGGAUGAAGGUUUUCGGAGUGUAAACUCCUUUUGAUAGAGAAGUUAAUGACGGUAUCUAACGAAUAAGCACCGGCUAACUCCGUGCCAGCAGCCGCGGUAAUACGGAGGGAGCAAGCGUUACUCGGAAUUACUGGGCGUAAAGAGCGCGUAGGCGGGAUAGAAAGUCAGAUGUGAAAUCCUAUGGCUCAACCAUAGAACUGCAUUUGAAACUGUUAUUCUAGAGUAUGGGAGAGGUAGGUGGAAUUCUUGGUGUAGCGGUGAAAUCCGUAGAGAUCAAGAGGAAUACUCAUUGCGAAGGCGACCUGCUAGAACAUAACUGACGCUGAUGCGCGAAAGCGUGGGGAGCAAACAGGAUUAGAUACCCUGGUAGUC